GUACACUCCUGCGGGAGGCAGCAGUGGGGAAUAUUGGACAAUGGGCGCAAGCCUGAUCAAGCCAUGCCGCGUGAGUGAUGAAGGCCCUAGGGUUGUAAAGCUCUUUCACCGGUGAAGAUAAUGACGGUAACCGGAGAAGAAGCCCCGGCUAACUUCGUGCCAGCAGCCGCGGUAAUACGAAGGGGGCUAGCGUUGUUCGGAUUUACUGGGCGUAAAGCGCCCGUAGGCGGACUAUUAAGUCAGGGGUGAAAUCCCGGGGCUCAACCCCGGAACUGCCUUUGAUACUUGUAGUCUUGAGUUCGAGAGAGGUGAGUGGAAUUCCGAGUGUAGAGGUGAAAUUCGUAGAUAUUCGGAGGAACACCAGUGGCGAAGGCGGCUCACUGGCUCGAUACUGACGCUGAGGUGCGAAAGCGUGGGGAGCAAACAGGAUUAGAAACCCCAGUAGUCC
rnacentral:rRNA from 1 species